CUCACGUCGGAGAACGAAAGCUUUGGAUGUUAUUGGAGAAAUCGGAUUUCGACCGACCACAUUGUCAGAAUGAUGCAUGCUGAAGUUGAUAAAGGAAGCUGACGACGAGGAUCGGAGCAACGUAACUUAAUGGAGGUUGAUUCUGGUUUCGAUUUUACCGCGACAAAUUGGUGGUGAACAUAGCUCAAGAUCUUGGCCACACUUGCUGCAUGUCUGUACGUAAAACAAGGAAAAGAAGUACAUUAUCCUUUGUGUUACUAGCUAAGACAAAUUUGACAGAUCUGUAAAAUCCAUUAAUGAAAAUGAAAAAUUAAAUUUAUUAUAA